rnacentral:tRNA from 1 species
GCCCAGGUGGCGAAAUUGGUAGACGCGCUGGCUUCAGGUGCCAGUGACAGAAAUGUCAUGGAAGUUCGAGUCUUCUCCUGGGCACCA